rnacentral:tRNA from 1 species
CCUUCGAUAGCUCAGUUGGUAGAGCGGUGGACUGUAGUUGGUUCCGAGUAAUCUUUAAAAGAGAGACAUCCAUAGGUCGCUGGUUCGAAUCCGGCUCGAAGGA